AUAAAGAGCAUAAUAAAAUAAUAAAUAGGAUAGGUCAGAGCUAACUUCUUCAGAAACUAAACAAAUGGAAGUCAUAUGAUGAUAAAUUGGGGCUAUAUGCUCGAUGUUCCAGUAUUUCUCAUUUGAACUUCUGAUGCAAUGACUGUUUCAUGCAAUACAUGUAGACAGGCAUUGUCAUGCAGAAGCACUACUACAUUUCUCAGCAAUCCUGGCCAACUUGAUUUUGAUGUUGACUUAGAGACAUUGCAAGAUUUUACACAACCAUCAGUCUUAACAAGUUCGUCUAAACUGGCUGUAUCUCGGCAGAGAUUAUGUUUACUUGAACUCUGCAUGCAUUAUUUUCCAAACUUUCAUGACCAUCUUUAACCUGCUCUCUCUGUUAGCAUAUAGAGACAUCAAAG
rnacentral:lncRNA from 1 species